rnacentral:misc_RNA from 1 species
GUAAAAGUCAAGAACUUCGAACGAACGAAUUGUUUCUCUCUGGAUAAUUUAGUUAACAGUGUUUUCGAUGUUUUUAAAAUCAAGAAUCAAGUCCAGUUCUCAAUGAAGAUAAUAUUUAGCCCUCUCAAGAGCAUAAUUAUGGGGACACUCGACAUGGUUAUCAUCCCUCUAGUAAGUUCGGCAUGGACAUAUACGGCGAUAUCAAGCGAGCCCUUUACUUUGACGGCCCCAGUGAAGAGUUGCACAGCUUCAUUGCACAUACCUUUGAGCUACGAAAUCCAAAUCCUACCUACAUGUUCAUUUUACCAAACGAAAAACACAAGCAUCUCAUUAUGAAAAGGACUGAUUUCAAGAGGCCAAUUUUUCCGAACAUCACAGAGUUGAAUAUAAGAUUGAACCGCCUCUCGGCUAAACGGUUUUUGAAUCAAGAAGGGAGUGACAUUGAUCCACUUAUUUCGGGUAAACCCUCGUCAACAUUUUAUAAUAACGACGAGAAUACUAUCCUCGAAAAUAUCCAAACCGAACGAACUUUCAUCGAUUACAUGCAGCGACUUAAUGAAAAGGCUGAAAAUUUAUUGGAAUAUAUUCGUAAAAGGCAAAAUCCGCAGUAUAAGAAUUCGAACAUUUCGCGGAUCCCCUUGAUGCUUAGAAAUGCCGACCUGGAAUGGCAAAAAGUCGGUCUUGACGGUUGGAGAGGAGAAAUUAUUCCAUACAGAGAUUUGAGCGAUGCCGGUAUAAGUGAAAAGAUUCCAGGUACCGAUCUGUCUUUGAUCAAAGCAGAUUUGAGGAAUUCAAAAAAGAUCGGCGGUUACAACGUUUCGGUUCCGUUGCAAUGGAACUUUUUAGAUGACACUGAUAUUAAGGAGAAGUGGGAUUUGCCUGGAAAGGUUUCACAAGGAAUUGCGGCUGAUAUGGAUGACUUGAAUGAGGUUUUCAGUAUUAUGUCGAAUGUUUUGAAUAGUACAGCACCUCCGAAAUGGCCAAUUGCUAAUCCUAGGAGCGCUCAUAAGAACAACGAUGUGUAUAUUGCAAGAGCUAAUGAUCCUUUUGGAUAUUCGACUAAGUGGGAGUUUAAGUCCAACAGCACAAAGUCUAGGAAAAAACGAGGGAUUGGUGAACUAUACUCCAUGCUGAAAUGUGGAACCGGCUGCGAUCCACUUCUCCUCAGAGGAUACGGAUGCUAUUGUGGAUUUCUAGGAGCUGGUAUCCCAGCGGAUGGUAUUGAUAGAUGUUGUCAAGCUCACGAUCGAUGUUACGGACGAGCCAAUUGUCCAAUGUAUCUUCAGUAUUUCGUCCCAUAUUUAUGGAAAUGCUACAACGGACGACCACUAUGUGCAGUGGAUAAUGGCGAGUGGGGUCGUUGUGCAACACAAUUAUGCAGAUGUGAUUUGUACUUGUCGGCAUGCACUCGAAAAUAUAGAUGCCCAAGACGACGAUUAAUUUGUCGAUCGAAUAAGUUUCGAAUGUUGCAGAAUUAUCUGAAGAUAAUUUGAGUUGAAGGCGUCUUUUGACUCUUCUCUGUGAAUACGUGUAUUAGUUUGUUAAUUAUUACAUAGUUGGCAAUAAGAUAGUGCAAGGAUAUCACCGUUGCAGCGUAAAAAUUGUUGGUGCUUUAAUUUUAGUAGAUACUGAAGAAAGUACAAAACCAGUGGAUGGCCUCUGAGUCUUAGGACAUGAACUAAAACCAACACACAAUAUUUAUACUAACUCCAUCGAAUAGAAAACACAAAAACACAUUGGCUACCGAAAUUUCCAUUAAUUGAAGUACAAUAGUUUGUUUUAGCAAAAAUUUAAAAUCUCUCUUGCAAUCUGAAAAUUGAACAUCGAUGUGAGAUAUCUAGAAACUAUCUUUAUCCAAUAAGAGGGAAUAUAAAUGUUUUACUAGCCAGCAAUUUCGUGGACUAAAAAGUUGUUCAACAAAGGGCACUUACUCCGAAUAUUGCUCCCAACUAUCUUCAAAAAAUCCCAGUUUACAAGUAGUUACGCAUUCUAAUGAGAAAGUGGUGCGGGAAAUAAUUUAAAAUUUAAUCUUUCUUCGGGUGUCUUCCGUGAUAAUUUCGUAGUAUUAGUUCGUAGUAGUUUAGUGUUGUGUUACCGCGGAACAAGUGUUUACGAGUGUCACGUACAACGGGGGAACAUAAAGAAGAAAAUGUUAUAUGGAGCUCAGUUGUCCGCAUGAUAAAAAUGUGACAUACGAAUAGCUUGUUCGUGGCGUGGAUUUAAACAAUAUGGAACCCGAAGGGAUUAUGCGGAUAGAUUGUUCCUGAUGGAAAGGAUGGAGCUGAAAUUUUGUUUUGAACAGGACCAAAAGGACGACAUCCGUGCCUCCUCCGAAAAACAGCUACAACCUAAAAAGGAAACAACGGCCGAGGGGCUACCAGAACCAGCUCAACGGAAUCGCUGCAGAGACUUUGUGCCGGGCGACGACGAUAUUAGCGCUGCUCCCAGAACCUGUGAGACCGCGAUUCCUGCUGAUCCCGCAACCCAACUGGACGAUCCCCAACAUCGAUCCCAUCUGCAGUUUCUCCAUCAAAAUCUGCUGAUCUUCGACGAGCAUUGUCCUUUGCAGGAGCCGAAACUGCCCAGAAAUGUGUCCACUUUUACCAAUUUGUUGUGUUAAUUUUCUUUGUAUUUUGAUGAAUUUCCGUUAAAUAAAGUGAAUUAAUUAUUUCCACGAAAAUGCUUGUGUUUUUCUUCCAACCAUCAACCACCAAACUGCUCUCGCUGGCUCCCUUUCAAUUCAAACAGAACGAAAAUCCGACCCCGUGGGCCUUCAAAACAAUUCAAAUUCAAAUUUCGACUCCGUCACAUUCCGAGCAAAUUUUCCUAAAAGCGUCGCCGGCAAAAUUCCAAUUUAUUCGACCAAAAUACUCGGCCCCCAGAAUCCGCAGCAAGCAAAAUUGCCUACCAGUGGUUCUCAAUAUGUGUGCAGAUCCUGAGCAGUGUUUCUCAAUCUAUAUGCCAUCUAUCCGAGACUCAAACUAGCCGAUCGACUACCGAUUGUACUAGAUUAACCGAUUUUUUUUGAAUAUCGAAUAAAAUAGAUUUGAAGUGUCGCAAAUGCAAAAAUGACUCGCGUGACAUUAAAAUAAAAUCCGAUUCGAUCUGUCACGAUUUUUCCAAGCAUCAAAAGGCAUGGAUUCGUCGCGAAAUUAAUUAAAAACUUUUCGUUUGACAUUUGUUUGGGGUGAUCGAACCGAUGGAAAUGUAAUAGUCGAUCUAGUCCAGUUUGGUUUAUCGAAAUUCGAAAUUUAUUAGCUUGAGAGCCUGUGGAGGUGAAACUUGUAAACAAAAAUGGCGUAGACAUAAACAAAAACAUUUGUACUGAUCAUCUUUGCUUGCUCCGUGUUCUGGGGGCCUAGUAUUUUGGUCGAACAAAUUGAAGUUUGUCGGCGAUCGGACGGUCCUGGGAAAAAUUUAACUGCGGACUCAAACGACAACGGCUGUGCGGCAACUUGCGCCUAUUGAGGGAUUUGACAGUUGGCGGAAAAAAUAAACAUCGAACGUGGGUGGAUGGAUUUCGCUUUAUUAAACGGAAAUUCAUCAAAAUACAAAAAAUAAAAAGGACAUAAAACAAAAUUAGUUAUAAAAGUGCGCCUCAUGUAUCCGGACAAUUUCGUUUCUUGCAAAGGAUGACAACAAUGCUCGCGGAAGAACAUCAGAUUCCGGCGGAGAAACUGCAGAUGGACUUGGAUGGUGUGGAGGAUCGCGUUCAGUUGGGUUACGAGAUUAGCAGGAGUUAUGGUCGCAGAGGUCUUGGGAGAUGCACUGAUAUCGUCGCCCGGCAGAGAGUACCCAGCAGCAAUUUCGGCGAUUUGGAUCCGAAAGUUUCCUUGACCCGAUCUCCUUUUCGAAGCUGCAGUUGAUGUUCGGAGGAAGCACGGAUGUCGUCCUGUGAAUAAAUGAGAAGAAAUGGAGUUAGAAAGGUUCAAUAAAAAGGAUGGAAAAUGCAAGAUGAAGUUAAGCGCAAGACAUUGAAGUGGAAGAGCCAAUGGAAGCCAGUUGCGUUGCCACACUGCAGGAGAGGACGAAGUGAUUGGAUGACGGAUCUGCAGCCGUGAUUGUGCUAACUUGAAGGUUUCUCUGGGAUCAUCGUUAAGUGGCUGCUUUAGUGGAGACGCUGCAUAUCAGGCACAACUCAAGUUGGGAAGUAAAUCGUAGUCCAUUGACUCUGGCAGUUGAACGCGUUUUUUUCACGGGAUUCCUCCUACUACCGAUUCCUGAAGGAGACAUAAAGUAUUCCUGGCCGGAGAAUGCAUUAAUUACAUCACAAAUUCCUGUCGAUUCCUUUAUUACCGUAAAUUACAAUUAAUUACAAAUGUCAGUUGUUAGUAAGAAUAAAAUUCGAAUCUUCAUAAAA